GUUUUCCUGUCUUUUUUGCCGUCUAGCUGCUGAUAUAUUGUUGUAAACCCCGUGCACUAACAGUUGGAUAUUUCAUGAGCAAUGGUUAUAGGCAUGAGCUUCAAAUAUACAGUACCAAUGAUCAGAAACAAACUCUGGCUUUUCACAGAUAAAAGGCUGUACUUAGAGCAGCGCUGUUUAGUGACUGGGAGAAUCAGGCUGUUUAAGGCCAUGUCUGAUGCUAAAACAUGUAGAAAGGAGUGUGGAAAAGAAGUGGCCAUCUAGAUGACAGGCGACUGGUCAGGAACAGCCUAAAGGAAUGAAACUGAAGUCUGCUGAGUUAUGAAAGAGCAACUUCUGAAGAACCAAAUAUUCCUCUGGAAAACCUCUGAAGCUUCAGACAUGUUUUCCAGCAGGCUCCCCCUCCUUCCAGCCUCCUUCUCUUCACUGUUGGCUUUAUCAAGGUCAUCUCUGCUGCUGCUCCCAUCUGCUCUGCAGCAACAGCGCCUCCGUCUGGACCAACACAGGUAUUUCAUUUAUGAGCUUGCUCAAUGUGAUUUUUUUUUUUUUUUUUUAUGUUUCACAGUGUAUUUGUUUUUU
ensembl:lncRNA